rnacentral:ncRNA from 1 species
GGUAUAGGGGCGAAAGACUAAUCGAACUGUCUAGUAGCUGGUUCCCUCCGAAGUUUCCCUCAGGAUAGCUGGAACUUACGGCAGUUUUAUCAGGUAAAGCGAAUGAUUAGAGGUCUUAGGGUUAAAACAACCUUAACCUAUUCUCAAACUUUAAAUUGGUAAGAAGUCCGACUUGCUUAAUUGAAGCCGGACAGUGAAUGCGAGUUCCUAGUGGGCCAUUUUUGGUAAGCAGAACUGGCGAUGCGGGAUGAACCGAACGCGAGGUUAAGGUGCCAAAGUCGACGCUCAUCAGACCCCACAAAAGGUGUUGGUUGCUCUAGACAGCAGGACGGUGGCCAUGGAAGUUGGAAUCCGCUAAGGAGUGUGUAACAACUCACCUGCCGAAGCAACUAGCCCUGAAAAUGGAUGGCGCUCAAGCGUCGCACCUAUACCGUGCCGUCGGAGCAGAUGCGAAGCUCCGACGAGUAGGAGGGCGUGGGGGUCGUGACGCAGCCUCUGGCGCGAGCCUGGGUGAAACGGCCUCCAGUGCAGAUCUUGGUGGUAGUAGCAAAUAUUCAAAUGAGAGCUUUGAAGACCGAAGUGGAGAAAGGUUCCAUGUGAACAGCAGUUGGACAUGGGUUAGUCGAUCCUAAGAGAUAGGGAAAUUCCGUUUGCAAGCGCCCGAUCUUGGGCCGCCUAUCGAAAGGGAAUCGGGUUAAUAUUCCCGAACCGGGACGCGGAUAUUGCCGUUCGCGGCAGAUGCGGUAACGCAAACGAACCCGAAGACGCUGGCGGGGGCCCUGGGAAGAGUUCUCUUUUCUUUUUAACGAGCUUUCACCCUGAAAUCAGCUUGCCUGGAGAUAGGGUUUAAUGCUCGGUAAAGCACCACACUUCUUGUGGUGUCCGGUGCGCUGUCGACGGCCCUUGAAAAUUCGGGGAAGACAUUGAUUUUCGUGUCCGUCGUACUCAUAACCGCAGCAGGUCUCCAAGGUGAGCAGCCUCUGGUUGAUAGAACAAUGUAGGUAAGGGAAGUCGGC